rnacentral:rRNA from 1 species
AUUGAACGCUGGCGGCAUGCUUUACACAUGCAAGUCGAACGGCAGCGCGGGCUUCGGCCUGGCGGCGAGUGGCGAACGGGUGAGUAAUACAUCGGAACGUGCCCAGUAGUUGGGGAUAGCUCGGCGAAAGCCGGAUUAAUACCGCAUACGACCUGAGGUUGAAAGCGGGGGAUCUUCGGACCUCGCGCUAUUUGAGCGGCCGAUUGCAGAUUAGCUAGUUGGUUGGGUAAAGGCCUACCAAGGCGACGAUCUGUAGCUGGUCUGAGAGGACGACCAGCAAACCUGGAACUGAGACAGGGCCCAGCCCCCUCGGGGGGGAAGCAGUGGGGAAUUUUCGACAAUGGGCGAAGGCCUGAUCAGGAACUGCCGGGUGUGUGAUGAAGGCCUUCGGGUUGUAAAGCACUUUUGGAGGGAACGAAAAGGACUGUGCCAAUACCACGGUUCGAUGACGGUACCAGCAGAAUAAGCACCGGCUAACUACGU